AGUUUAUUUCAAAAAUCAUAAAUCACGAAAAAGGAAACCCUUAUUCUCCGUGGCUUUCCCAGGUUGGCUUCUCUAUCUGCAACUCCAUCCACGCUUUUUUUAUUUUAUUUUUAAUUUGUCCACCUUUCUCUCUCCACGGCUCCCCCACUCAAAUUCACCCCUCUCCGCCAACCCCCACCGACCUGCGUCAGAACCUCCAGUGGCGUGGCUCCGAUCUGAUCGUGCGCGUCGGGAAGCCCGAGACGAUUCUCAUGGAGAUCGCGAUGGCUGUCGGUCAUGGCUGUACCAGUGAGUAACAGAUCUCGUGAGUGUAGCUUUUGAGAGGGACGGUGAAGGUGCAGUCCAAUCCUCUUAUAUGCUGAGUAACAAAGCAAAAUAACAUGGUGGCAUUUUUUUGGUUGGAUGGUCAGAAUUGAAUAUGGCAGUGAGGAUUCUAGCAAGUGUAUAAUAAUGUUCAUGGUCUGUAACAGGUUUUGAAUUAAGGAAAAUGUGUAGAAUGGAAUUACUGCCAGUGGUACGAAGUGGGUAUUAGACAAUGGUAAAUGAGUAAAAUGAGCAUUGCUCAGAGUUAAAGUGACAAUUUAUCGAACAGGUGGUGAGUGAUGAAUUAGUUGCAAUUUGUCAAAGUUGGUUGAUAUGUUAUCAUGCAGUUUAAAAUAUUACAGAACCAACAGGUAGUAUUAUUUAGUUAUUUUUUUGGUGUUUUAUUCCCAAAAUGGCUGAGCUGAUUUUGUUUCUCCUCACUUGCUGUUGUGGAUUGUGCUAUCUGGCUUAAAUGAAAGAUUAAAAACACACUGUUUCAAGAGAACUUUCUCAUGUGGUAGAGAAGUAGACUUGGUUUACUAUGAAGAGUUGCGUGGGCUGAUCUUCCUACUAUGUUUUGUAAUGUUGUAACCCUAUAGAUAGGGUGAUUGAAAUCAAAUAAAUUUCUUAUGCAUGUAUAAUGAUAAUGAUAACAAUAAUAAUCUUAUUUUGAUUGUU